rnacentral:rRNA from 1 species
GGAUACCCGCUGAACUUAAGCAUAUCAAUAAGCGGAGAAAUGGG